rnacentral:lncRNA from 1 species
GAGGUUGAUGGCGAUGCUUAAAAAGCAAUCGACUUACAAGGGUGUGAAAAUGGGCUCGAUAUUAAAUUGAGAAAAGUAUGAUUUUUAUAGUUUUCAAAUGGUUUCGAGCACAUGAUGCAAUUAAAAGAAAAACAAAUCUAUAUUAUUAAACAAUAAUAAAACUAAUGAGUAAUAAAGCGUAAACCUAAAAGAAAAUGUUAAAAGAAAAAAAACUACACCUAGGGGUAUCGAACCCACUACACUAAAGAUCUAGAAAACCAACCCUCUCCACUAGACCACUUAGGAUUAGUUGUUAUUUACAAUGUCAAAUGGGCUUUAUAAAUCAAAAAAGAUUGGAACAAAGAAAAUUAAAGAAAAUAAAACCAAAAUAAUAAUAAUAAUAAAAAAAAGACUGUUAGGUUACCCAAAAAAAUCCAGCCGCCUGGCUGUUGGAUUU